AGGGCUUCACCCAGUUUGUCAAAGGCCAGCUGUCUCAAGUGGGAAGGCAGUUCUACAACACGGACAUUGAAGUUGAGAUCCUGUCCAAAGAGGAGACUGAGAAGAUGACAUAUGUGAUCUACAAGAUGAACUUUGACAACGCUGCCUUCAAGCACCG